rnacentral:rRNA from 1 species
CCUACGGGAGGCAGCAGUGGGGAAUAUUCGGCAAUGGGCGCAAGCCUGACCCAGCAACGCCGCGUGAAGGAAGAAGGCUUUCGGGUUGUACACUUCUUUUGACAGGGAAGAGUAUAAGACGGUACCUGUCGUAUAAGCCACGGCUAACGACGUGCCAGCACCCGCGGUAAUUCGUAGGUGGCAAGCGGUGUCCGGAUAUACUGGGUGUAAAGGGCGUGUAUCCUGGUUGAUAAGUCCUAUGUGAAAACCUGAGGCUCAACCGAAGAAUUGCCUUUGAAACUGUUGAUCUUGAGUAAUGGAGAGGUAGACGGAAUUCCUAGUGUAGCGGUGAAAUGCGUAGAUAUUAGGAGGAACACCAGAGGCGAAGGCGGCUUGCUGGACAGAAACUGACGGUGAGGCGCGAAAGCGUGGGGAGCAAACAGGAGUAGAUACCCGGGUAGUC